UUGAACGCUGGCGGCAGGCUUAACACAUGCAAGUCGAGCGGGGGAAGGUAGCUUGCUACCGGACCUAGCGGCGGACGGGUGAGUAAUGCUAGGAAUCUGCCUAUUAGUGGGGGACAACAUCUCGAAAGGGAUGCUAAUACCGCAUACGUCCUACGGGAGAAAGCAGGGGAUCUUCGGACCUUGCGCUAAUAGAUGAGCCUAAGUCGGAUUAGCUAGUUGGUGGGGUAAAGGCCUACCAAGGCGACGAUCUGUAGCGGGUCUGAGAGGAUGAUCCGCCACACUGGGACUGAGACACGGCCCAGACUCCUACGGGAGGCAGCAGUGGGGAAUAUUGGACAAUGGGGGGAACCCUGAUCCAGCCAUGCCGCGUGUGUGAAGAAGGCCUUAUGGUUGUAAAGCACUUUAAGCGAGGAGGAGGCUACUUUAGUUAAUACCUA
rnacentral:rRNA from 1 species